UACGGAGGGAGCUAGCGUUGUUCGGAAUUACUGGGCGUAAAGCGCGCGUAGGCGGCUUUGUAAGUUAGAGGUGAAAGCCCGGGGCUCAACUCCGGAACUGCCUUUAAGACUGCAUCGCUUGAAUCCGGGAGAGGUGAGUGGAAUUCCGAGUGUAGAGGUGAAAUUCGUAGAUAUUCGGAAGAACACCAGUGGCGAAGGCGGCAUCACUGGACCGGUAUUGACGCUGAGGUGCGAAAGCGUGGGGAGCAAAACAGG
rnacentral:rRNA from 1 species